rnacentral:ncRNA from 1 species
CUAGUGACUUUGCAAAAAGUCGCGAUGUCGCUUCAGAAGUCAGCCGAGGCCAUAGUAGCGUUGCGCUGAACAGCGUGAAGGGC